UGAUUAAUGAUCUUGUUAUCCGUGCA
rnacentral:piRNA from 1 species